rnacentral:lncRNA from 1 species
CAUGUAAGGAGACACUGCUGAAAAUGGAAUUUGUGACUACUUUGCUCAGGGUCUAGGGAAAUAGAGCCCAGAUAGAACAGAUUGGGUUUUGGUAUUUGCCUAUCUAAGCCACUGCCAACUUGGUAGAAGCGAUAACUGAAUUUUGGAGAUAUUUACAACAAAAAUACAUGCAGUAGAGUUUCUGCUGUUUUAGUCAGACAGAAUGCAGAGAAUGUUGUGGCAGAUGUGAGACACAUGCCUUUGGGAACUGGUUAAUGUAGAAGUGGUUUGGAGAGCUAGUUUCCAAGAGCUCUCCCUGGAGUGACUGAAAAGAUAGCACCUUUACUUGAUUGCUCUAAGUGCCAGCCAGGAAGCAGCCCUUUUGCAGGGUGGAGCCCAAGGCUUAGAGACAUGAUUUGGACUCAUUUUGAGAGACAGAAAUCUUCGGUCAAAAUUUAUUUUCUUUGCAGUUUCACUGAUGCCAUAAUAGAUAGUGAAGGAUAUAAAGGGAUACUAUGGUGAAAGUUAUUUUACCAGGUAGGAAACUUGUGAGAGGAUUUAUAUUUCAAAAUGACAGUGACCUAAAACUCACAUCAAAAAGUGUCUUAAAGAAAAAGUGUCCAGAAUUGUAGCCUAUGGAGCUAUAUGACUCAGAAUCUCACCCAACAAAAUGACAGAUUUUAAACAUCUGGCACUUUUAUUUCUCAUUUCUGUAGAACUUGGUACACAGAACAAGUUGUCUGUCAACUUGCUACAGAUGAAGACAUUAAUUUCAGACUUUACAAAAUCUCCCCAUUUUAAAAAAAUAGCGUUUUAUUUCACCAUUCCUUUUCAGCAAUUUAGGACAUUUAGUGGCUAUGUUUUAUUAGGGUCAUACUUUUUAUAUGUUUUUGUCCUUUAUAGUAUCUUUAUAGUGUCUUCAAAUACUAAUGUUAUACAGGUAUAAGUUCUGAGAUACUCAACUUUUCCUUUUUUUUUUAAAUUUUUUAAGCAAUGAGAUCAACUUUUCCUUUUAAGUUGUACAACCAAACAUUUCAAACAUUUAGAGAUGAACUGUUGAAAAGUGCUUACUCUUAUAUCAUCUCCUUAUUUCUUUCUCCUGGACCCUUGGCUCUGCCCUCACUUCACACUAACACCUGAGUAAGAGAAAAACACUCUAAAUAUUCUUAGUUAGUGAUUCUAGGUCCUUUUAUAGUUUUAAACCAGGACACUAAGUGAUUCAGACUACUUCUCUCUGAUAACUUAAUUAAAACUUCCAGAAAAUGCUGUUAUCAUAGGUGGUGGUAGAGGUGUGAGCAAUAGCAGGAAGCAGAGCAGAGAAGGGAGUUGGUCUAAAUAAAGUAUUUGAAAUAUUCUUGGUGUCAGUUUCCCAGAGAUCUAAAUGAAUCUUUUAACUUUCUCAGGAGUAAAUUUUGAAGAAUCAAGGGAAGAAAUGGAGGUAGGAUGCAGAAGGAAAAUAAGCAGGGGGAAAUUAUGUUUGUAUCCAUUGAUUUAUGUCUAUUGCUAUAUUUCUAUUUUUUAUAGGUGUUGCAAAUAAAAUGGAAGUUGGUCUUCUACUUUAGCACUUCUCAGGUCUCAAGUUCUGACUCACAGCUGUUAAGGCUGUUCAUCCUUGACUGAUCAUAGGCAGUAAAUUGAGAAGUGACUAACACAAUUUUAACUGAGCUGUCAGAUCUGACAUCAUAUGAUCCAUUCUUCAUUUGUACUUUCACGCUAUCAAUUCUCAGUUUCUAAAAACAAAUAAUGGAAAACAUGGACUUUUUGCAUAACUUCUCACAUUUUAUAUCUGGUAUCCUUUUCUGUAACUCAUGACUUUUCUCAUUUUUGACAAUAUAAGAUCCCUGGGUAAUGUUCAGAAGACUUUUUUCAGGAUAUGAAUGCAUAUGUUGUCAUUAAAUUAAAUUCUCCAUAAGAGUUUGCUUAGAUCAGCAUUUCUAAAAUGUGUCAAUAUUAGCAAAACAUUGAAAAUUACAUGUUUCUGCCCUUUCUUAAAUGCCAUGUUGUUUUAUUUGUUGUUGAACUAAACUAGGUACUCCAUCUGUUUAGAAGCCAUUUCAGUGAACACAUUUCUAGGAAAUGGGCACUAGACUUGGAACCCAUUUUUGGAGAUCCCAGGCAUCAAUGAGAGAUCAGAGUAGCAAAAUAGUGAAAUACGUUGAACUUCAUCAGAGAAGCUAGAAUCCUUCAUGCAACCCAGAAUGAACUAUCAAAAUGUUGACACAAUUUUACUAUAAUUUAUGCUUUUAUGUAUUUAUUUAAUGAAGCCUUUAACUUUCUCUUAUUUUUAAAUAAGAUACUCUGAUGAAACAUAGCAUUUCCCUGUUAACUUUACAUACAUAAAUGAGGCAUCCUUAAAGAAAUUCUGGGUUGUUCUUCCUACCUUAAAUACUCUGUUCUUUUCCCUUGAUUGUGGUCAUUAAUCAACUUCAUCAGAUAAUGCCAUAAUAAGAACACAGGUGGAACAAAAAGAAAAUGCUCUAGUAAAGGUUUUGUAUAUUUUCUCAAACUGACAGAUAUAUAAAUUGAUUCGGAUUUGCUUAUAGCAGACUAUUGUCUUCUAUUUCAGCAAAUUAUUGUGUAUAUGAAAAUAUGCAAAGGCCUACCUUUGAGAUUUCUUACGAUUGUUUGUUAUAAAAGUAUUGAACUAACAAAUCAGUUGUUCAAACAAUUUACAGAGUAGGGAGUUGUCAUUGUGACUCAGUAGUAAUGAACCCGACUAAUAUCCGUGAGGACACAGGUUUGAUCCCUAGCCUCCCUCAGCGAGUAAAGAUUCUGGUGUUGCCAUGAGUGGUGGUGUAGGUCAGAGAAGGCAGCUCAGAUCUGGUGAUACUGUGGCUGUGGUAUAGACCAGCACCUAGAGCUCUAAUUGGACGCCCUAGCCUGGGAACUUCCAUAUGCCAUGAGUGUGGCC